rnacentral:rRNA from 1 species
UGAGUAUUUGGUCGUAGACCCGAAACCAGGUGAUCUACCCUUGGUCAGGUUGAAGUUCAGGUAACACUGAAUGGAGGACCGAACCGACUUACGUUGAAAAGUGAGCGGAUGAACUGAGGGUAGCGGAGAAAUUCCAAUCGAACUUGGAGAUAGCUGGUUCUCUCCGAAAUAGCUUUAGGGCUAGCCUCAAGUGAUGAUUAUUGGAGGUAGAGCACUGUUUGGACGAGGGGCCCCUCUCGGGUUACCGAAUUCAGACAAACUCCGAAUGCCAAUUAAUUUAACUUGGGAGUCAGAACAUGGGUGAUAAGGUCCGUGUUCGAAAGGGAAACAGCCCAGACCACCAGCUAAGGUCCCAAAAUAUAUGUUAAGUGGAAAAGGAUGUGGCGUUGCCCAGACAACUAGGAU